UACGGAGGGUGCGAGCGUUAAUCGGAAUUACUGGGCGUAAAGCGCACGUAGGCUGUCAUGUAAGUCAGGGGUGAAAUCCCACGGCUCAACCGUGGAACUGCCCUUGAUACUGCGUGACUUGAAUCCGGGAGAGGGUGGCGGAAUUCCAGGUGUAGGAGUGAAAUCCGUAGAUAUCUGGAGGAACAUCAGUGGCGAAGGCGGCCACCUGGACCGGUAUUGACGCUGAGGUGCGAAAGCGUGGGGAGCAAACAGG
rnacentral:rRNA from 1 species